rnacentral:rRNA from 1 species
ACUCCUACGGGAGGCAGCAGUAGGGAAUCUUCCACAAUGGACGCAAGUCUGAUGGAGCAACGCCGCGUGAGUGAAGAAGGUCUUCGGAUCGUAAAGCUCUGUUGUUGGUGAAGAAGGAUAGAGGCAGUAACUGGUCUUUAUUUGACGGUAAUCAACCAGAAAGUCACGGCUAACUACGUGCCAGCAGCCGCGGUAA